rnacentral:rRNA from 1 species
AUUGAACGCUGGCGGCAGGCCUAACACAUGCAAGUCGAGCGGCAGCGGGAAAGUAGCUUGCUACUUUUGCCGGCGAGCGGCGGACGGGUGAGUAAUGCCUGGGAAAUUGCCCAGUCGAGGGGGAUAACAGUUGGAAACGACUGCUAAUACCGCAUACGCCCUACGGGGGAAAGCAGGGGACCUUCGGGCCUUGCGCGAUUGGAUAUGCCCAGGUGGGAUUAGCUAGUUGGUGAGGUAAUGGCUCACCAAGGCGACGAUCCCUAGCUGGUCUGAGAGGAUAAUCAGCCACACUGGAACUGAGACACGGUCCAGACUCCUACGGGAGGCAGCAGUGGGGAAUAUUGCACAAUGGGGGAAACCCUGAUGCAGCCAUGCCGCGUGUGUGAAGAAGGCCUUCGGGUUGUAAAGCACUUUCAGCGAGGAGGAAAGGUCAGUAGCUAAUAUCUGCUGGCUGUGACGUUACUCGCAGAAGAAGCACCGGCUAACUCCGUGCCAGCCGCCGCGGUAAGAC